UUGAAUUUUAAUGAAGGAGUUUGGUUGUAGCUGGCCCAUUCAUUUGGGCAUGUGCACACCUUCCUCUUUCAUCCCACACACACCUGUGAACCUGUGAGACAGAGAUGGGGAAUUUACUUGCUGCUUUUUGGAAUACAAAGGCAAUAGGUUAUUGGACCCCCCCUCUGUCUACUCAAUUAAUAUAAACUCAAUUUAUUUUAAAACGAAUGUAAUGGAUGUAACACAUCUCAUAC
rnacentral:misc_RNA from 1 species